GACGAACGCUGGCGGCGUGCUUAACACAUGCAAGUCGAACGGAAAGGCCCUGCUUUUGUGGGGUGCUCGAGUGGCGAACGGGUGAGUAACACGUGAGUAACCUGCCCUUGACUUUGGGAUAACUUCAGGAAACUGGGGCUAAUACCGGAUAGGAGCUCCUGCUGCAUGGUGGGGGUUGGAAAGUUUCGGCGGUUGGGGAUGGACUCGCGGCUUAUCAGCUUGUUGGUGGGGUAGUGGCUUACCAAGGCUUUGACGGGUAGCCGGCCUGAGAGGGUGACCGGCCACAUUGGGACUGAGAUACGGCCCAGACUCCUACGGGAGGCAGCAGUGGGGAAUAUUGCACAAUGGGCGGAAGCCUGAUGCAGCAACGCCGCGUGCGGGAUGACGGCCUUCGGGUUGUAAACCGCUUUCGCCUGUGACGAAGCGUGAGUGACGGAAAUGGGUAAAGAAACACCGGCGAACUACGU
rnacentral:rRNA from 1 species